UCGGUGCUAGUGGCAGACGGGUGAGUAACACGUGGGAACGUACCUUUCGGUUCGGAAUAAUUCAGGGAAACUUGGACUAAUACCGGAUACGCCCUUCGGGGGAAAGAUUUAUCGCCGAUAGAUCGGCCCGCGUCUGAUUAGCUAGUUGGUGAGGUAAUGGCUCACCAAGGCGACGAUCAGUAUCUGGUCUGAGAGGAUGAUCAGCCACGUUGGGACUGAGACACGGCCCAAACUCCUACGGGAGGCAGCAGUGGGGAAUAUUGGACAAUGGGCGCAAGCCUGAUCCAGCCAUGCCGCGUGAGUGAUGAAGGCCUUAGGGUUGUAAAGCUCUUUUGUCCGGGAAGAUAAUGACUGUACCGGAAGAAUAAGCCCCGGCUAACUUCGUGCCAGCAGCCGCGGUAAUACGAAGGGGGCUAGCGUUGCUCGGAAUCACUGGGCGUAAAGGGCGCGUAGGCGGACUCUUAGGUCGGGGGUGAAAGCCCAGGGCUCAACCCUGGAAUUGCCUUCGAUACUGGGAGUCUUGAGUU
rnacentral:rRNA from 1 species